rnacentral:rRNA from 1 species
CCUACGGGAGGCAGCAGUGGGGAAUAUUGCGCAAUGGGCGAAAGCCUGACGCAGCGACGCCGCGUGAGGGAUGACGGCCUUCGGGUUGUAAACCUCUUUUCAGCUCUGACGAAGCGCAAGUGACGGUAGGAGCAGAAGAAGCACCGGCCAACUACGUGCCAGCAGCCGCGGUAAUACGUAGGGUGCAAGCGUUGUCCGGAAUUAUUGGGCGUAAAGAGCUCGUAGGCGGUCUGUCGCGUCGAAUGUGAAAAUCCGGGGCUCAACCCCGGACCUGCAUUCGAUACGGGCAGACUAGAGUUCGGUAGGGGAGUCUGGAAUUCCUGGUGUAGCGGUGAAAUGCGCAGAUAUCAGGAGGAACACCGGUGGCGAAGGCGGGACUCUGGGCCGAUACUGACGCUGAGGAGCGAAAGCGUGGGGAGCAAACAGGAUUAGAUACCCUGGUAGUCCACGCGUAAACGUUGGGCGCUAGGUGUGGGGGUCCUUCCACGACCUCCGUGCCGCAGCUAACGCAUUAAGCGCCCGCCUGGGGAAGUCGGCCGCAAGGCUAAAACGUCAAAGGAAUUGACGGCNGAGAGNGCGAGCGACGACGAGGGAGAG